UAAUACGUAGGGUGCAGGCGUUAAUCGGAAUUACUGGGCGUAAAGCGUGCGCAGGCGGUUUGCUAAGACAGGUGUGAAAUCCCCGGGCUUAACCUGGGAACUGCGCUUGUAACUGGCAAGCUAGAGUGUGGCAGAGGGGGGUGGAAUUCCACGUGUAGCAGUGAAAUGCGUAGAGAUGUGGAGGAACACCGAUGGCGAAGGCAGCCCCCUGGGCUAACACUGACGCUCAUGCACGAAAGCGUGGGGAGCAAACAGGAUUAGAUACCCUGGUAGUCCACGCCCUAAACGAUGACGACUAGAUGUCGGAGGGGUCUGCCUUUCGGUGUCGUAGCUAACGCGUUAAGUCGUCCGCCUGGGGAGUACGGCCGCAAGGUUG
rnacentral:rRNA from 1 species